rnacentral:rRNA from 1 species
AGAGCACAAGGUGAAUGCCUUGGCUGCAUAAGGCGAUGAAGGACGUAAUAACCUGCGAUAAGCCUCGGGGAGCUGGUAAAUAAGCUUCGAUCCGAGGAUUUCCGAAUGGGAAAACCCAAUAUACGUAAGUAUAUUAUCUUAUACUGAAUACAUAGGUAUAAGAGGCGAACCUGGGGAACUGAAACAUCUAAGUACCCAGAGGAAAAGAAAUCAACAGAGAUUCCGGUAGUAGCGGCGAGCGAAACCGGACCAGCCCUUAAGCUUAUUUUAGUCCAGCAAAAUAUUCUGGAAAGUUUGACCAUAGUGGGUGAUAGUCCCGUAUGCGAAAGACUAAUUUAAGUGAAAUCGAGUAGGUCGGAACACGUGAAAUUCUGACUGAAUAUGGGGGGACCAUCCUCCAAGGCUAAAUACUCUAUGCAGACCGAUAGUGAACCAGUACCGUGAGGGAAAGGCGAAAAGAACCCCGGCGAGGGGAGUGAAAUAGAACCUGAAACCUUGUGCUUACAAGCAGUCGGAGCAGACUUGUUCUGUGACGGCGUACCUUUUGUAUAAUGGGUCAACGACUUAAUUUCAGUAGCAAGCUUAACCAUAUAGGGUAGGCGUAGGGAAACCGAGUCUUAAUAGGGCGCUCAGUUGCUGGAAUUAGACCCGAAACCGGGUGAUCUAUCCAUGGCCAGUGUGAAGGUCGAGUAACAUCGACUGGAGGCGCGAACCCACUUAUGUUGAAAAAUGAGGGGAUGAGCUGUGGAUAGGAGUGAAAGGCUAAUCAAACCCGGAGAUAGCUGGUUCUCUUCGAAAACUAUUUAGGUAGUGCCUCGUGUAUUACUGUAGGGGGUAGAGCACUGUUUCGGCUAGGGGGUCAUCCCGACUUACCAAACCGAUGCAAACUCCGAAUACCUACAAGUAUGAGCACGGGAGACAGACUGCGGGUGCUAACGUCCGUAGUCGAGAGGGAAACAACCCAGACUGUCAGCUAAGGUCCCUAAUUAUGAUUAAGUGGGAAACAAUGUGGGAAGGCACAAACAGCUAGGAAGUUGGCUUAGAAGCAGCCAUCUUUUAAAGAAAGCGUAAUAGCUCACUAGUCGAGUCGGCCUGCGUGGAAGAUAUAACGGGGCUAAAUCAUAAACCGAAGCUACAGAUCUUAAAUUUAUUUAAGAUGGUAGAAGAGCGUUCUGUAAGCGGAUGAAGGUGAGCUGAGAGGCGAGCUGGACGUAUCAGAAGUGCGAAUGUUGACAUGAGUAACGAUCAAAGAGGUGAAAAACCUCUUCGCCGAAAAACCAAGGGUUCCUGUCCAACGCUAAUCGUGGCAGGGUGAGGCGGCCCCUAAGGCGAGGGCGAAAGCCGUAGUCGAUGGGAAACAGGUUAAUAUUCCUGUACUUUUUAUAACUGCGAUGGGGUGACGGAGAAGGUUAGGCUAGCACGGCGACGGUUGUCCGUGUUCAAGGUUGUAGGCUGGUGUUCUAGGUAAAUCCGGAACGCCAUAUAGGCUGAGGACUGAUAACGACCACUCUACGAGUGGGAAGUAGCUGAUACCAUGCUUCCAGGAAAAACCUCUAAGCUUCAGGUUAUAAGAAACCGUACCCUAAACCGACACAGGUGGUUAGGUCGAGUAGACCAAGGUGUUUGAGAGAACUAUGGUGAAGGAACUAGGCAAAAUAGCACCGUAACUUCGGGAGAAGGUGCGCUACGUUUGGUGAUGGGACUUGCUCCUUGAGCUAAACGUAGUCGAAGAUACCAGGUGGCUGCGACUGUUUACUAAAAACAUAGCACUCUGCAAACUCGUAAGAGGAAGUAUAGGGUGUGACGCCUGCCCGGUGCCGGAAGGUUAAUUGAUGGGGUUAGCUUCGGCGAAGCUCUUGAUCGAAGCCCCGGUAAACGGCGGCCGUAACUAUAACGGUCCUAAGGUAGCGAAAUUCCUUGUCGGGUAAGUUCCGACCUGCACGAAUGGCGUAACGACUUCCCAGCUGUCUCAACCGCGAACUCGGCGAAAUUGCACUACGAGUAAAGAUGCUCGUUACGCGCAGCAGGACGGAAAGACCCCGUGACCUUUACUACAGCUUUGUAUUGGUGUUCGGUGUGGCUUGUGUAGGAUAGGUGGGAGACUUUGAAGCGGACACGCCAGUGUUUGUGGAGUCAUUGUUGAAAUACCACUCUGGUCACUCUGGAUAUCUAACUUCGAACCGUAAUCCGGUUCAGGGACAGUGCAUGGUGGGUAGUUUAACUGGGGCGGUUGCCUCCCAAAAAGUAACGGAGGCGCCCAAAGGUUCCCUCAGCCUGGUUGGCAAUCAGGUGGCGAGUGUAAGUGCACAAGGGAGCUUGACUGUGAGACUGACAGGUCGAGCAGGGACGAAAGUCGGGACUAGUGAUCCGGCAGUGGCUUGUGGAAGCGCUGUCGCUCAACGGAUAAAAGGUACCUCGGGGAUAACAGGCUGAUCUUGCCCAAGAGUCCAUAUCGACGGCAUGGUUUGGCACCUCGAUGUCGGCUCGUCGCAUCCUGGGGCUGGAGUAGGUCCCAAGGGUUGGGCUGUUCGCCCAUUAAAGCGGUACGCGAGCUGGGUUUAGAACGUCGUGAGACAGUUCGGUCCCUAUCCGCUGCGCGCGUUGGAAAUUUGAGAGGAUCUGACCCUAGUACGAGAGGACCGGGUUGGACGAACCUCUGGUGUGU